rnacentral:lncRNA from 1 species
GUGUAUGUCACUUUCACUUUAUAUCCAUUAGGAAAAGUUACAAGAUAGGGUACAGUUAAAGGUGUGAGAUUGAAGAGUAAAUCUUUAUUAAAGGUCAUAUGGUUAGAUGCCCCUGAGUCUAUUAUCCAGAUGGCAGAAUUAAUGUGAGUAAGCAUGCAAAAUUUGGAAUCAGAAACAGGGCUCUCAGUUAGCAUAUUACCAGCAAAAUUGGCAGCAUACAUGGGAGGAGGUGUCUGGGCAGUGGAGUCCCCUAACUGAGUUUGUUGUAGCAGGGUCAUCAAUUGUUCAUAAUAUUGUCUGCUCAACCCAGGUAUCAUAGAACUCUGGCCAUCCAUGUUUGGAACAGGGUAAUGACUUUCAG